AGAUUUAUAGCUCAGUGGAAUAGAGCAUGUGGCUACGAACUACAGUGUCGGGGGUUCAAUUCCCUCUAAAUCUA
rnacentral:tRNA from 1 species